AUCAGCGAGCCCAAUGCAGGGCUUGAAGUCGUGACCCAUGAGAUCAUGGCCUGAGCCAAAGUUGGAUGCUGAACCAACCGAGCCACCCAGGAGCCCAUGUUUCUCUUUUUUAUAAAAUAAGUAUUUCAGCCCUCAAUCUCAUCCCUGGAGGAAGCUUCUAUUAUCAUGUCUUGUGUAUCCUUUCAGGCCUUCUUGGGGGUUUAUGUAGGCCCGUGGGCACCAGAGACAGUGACAGCGGUUGUAAUUGUUAGAGUGUAUGUAGUCUUUCUUCACUGAAUUAGAGAUGAAUCAGACAGGUGUCUGCUUUUGAGCAGCUGGUAGCUGAGCACAGAGUAGGAUAGAUGAAUUCAUUCAUUCAUCUGGUUCCUCAUUUAUGCAUUCAGCAUAUUUUGUUGAAUUUUGUGUUAGCUGCUCUCAGGCCCCAGGAGUGCAAUGGUGAGCAGAAACAGACCUGUCUCUGCCUCCCUGGCUUUUGUAGCUUAGGGGGUGAGGCAGGUGCUUCAUCCCACGAGCCAGUGUUAAGGGAGUGGAGCAGUGAGCAGACAUUUGCCUGUGAAGAAAGAGGGAACAGUUCAUUUUUCCCAGAGGAGUCAAAGAAUCUGCAGUUAGUAGGACAGUCGGAGUUGGACCUUAAAGGAUAAUAUAAUAGUUUCUGGGAUGAUGUGAGAGAGAGCAGACAGUCCAAGCAAAGGGAUCAAUGUGUGCAGAGAUACAGACAAAUGAGUGGGCAUUUGCAAGGAGUGAGGAACAGCAAUUGGCCAUGGUCAUGGGGUGGGGUGCUGGACAGCCUGUGAGAAGGGCUGUCUGCUCUGCUCAAGUUGUAUGCUGAGUGCAGAGGGGUUGUUGAUUUUUGUCCUCAUUAUUUGUUUUAAAAUAAAUGUGUAUUUUAUUGAAGUAUAUCAUGGAUGUGUUGAAAAUUGUACGUGUUAUGUGUAGAGUUUGAAUGACCAUCUCAGGAUAAAUGCACCUGUGUAAUCCCCAUCCAGGUCAAGAGCAUUUUCAGCCCCCAGCGGGCUCCUCCAUCCUCUGCCCCACCUAAACCAGUCUUCUGCCUUCUAAUACUGUGCAUUAGUUUUGGAUGUUUUUGAAGCAUGAUACUACCAGAGACAUUCCUGUCUAUUUCUUGUAUGUUUUGAGGGGACAGAUCUAUUGGGUGUAUGCCCAGGAUCAGAACUGGUCAAGGGGCUGAGUGACAGGGUCAUAACUGUAACAGAACUGAACUGUGGCAGCAGGGUGAAGGCCACAGGGAAGAGCUGGGAAGCUGUGGCUGUGAUUCAGAGCCCCGCGAGUGCAAGAACCAUUACUAACUCUGACUGAUUUUGAUCUCCCCAGUGCCCCUCAUAAGAUUUCUUUGAAGCAUUUCCAGAGAGGGCAGUUGUGGCGGACAUUAAGACAGUUACCAUGACUUGGAUGCCAGGCUGUCAGGGAACACGGGGGGUUACUUAAGUCCCUGCUGGAAGACCAAGAAGGAUGCCUGGAGCCACAGUGGGCAGGGCAAAGGGUCUGUGCAAGGAAGGUCAAGUCUGGAAUCCUGAUUUUGAAGGGCCCAUGGGAUGUCAGGAUUCAGUCAGCAGUUGGGUAGGCAGGUGCAGUGCUCAGAAGACAGAUCUGAGCCAGAGAUGUCGAGCAUCACCAGCACAGAGCACAAUAUCUUCGUCAGAAAACCCUAACUCCAAGUGACUAGAGUCAUUUAGGAUUCCUAUAAAGAAGGCUACAGAUCAGACUGCUCUAGUACUUGUUAGUUCCCUGGAUUAACAGUGUCAGCGAGGAUCCAGGGUCCUACUGCUUUUCUGCUUUAGUCUUCCCUGUUAGUUGACUUUGUCCCAUAAUCGACCCCUGGUGGUUAUGUGGUGCCUGAUGUGUCUAGAUGUGACUUCUCAAGUCUCUGUGGCCAUCAUUGUGUCCCAGCCCACACCCACAUGACUGAUGCAAAGGUUCUCCUCCUGCCCUUCACCCCCUUAGGGCCGCUUGUUAAUGUAGGGAGGAUGGAGAUGGCUGUGGGUGAGGUCAUGUAGGGUGUGCAGUAGAAGGUGACUCAAGCCUUGGGAGGGAGAGGAAAUGGCAGGGAAGGAGAAUGAAGAUGAAGCAUGAAGGACUCAGGAUUAAUAGGUUAGGAGAUCUACAGCCUUUGGUCUCCUGACCUCUGGGAGCCACCGUUGGCAGAAAGCAGACUUGGAAUGGAUGGGUCAGGAACCAUGAGUGCCGCAGAGCAGUAAGUGGUUUGAUGCCAGCCUAACCUUACCCUUGGCUCGGUUCUGUCUGUUCUGUAACAGGGAGUUUCUCAACUGUGGAGUUAGAGGACAGACCUCUUGAAAACGAUGGACUGUUUUCUUGAGCAUCAGUUCCAUAAGGCUAUUACGUAACCCAAGGAUGGUCCAGAGUUGAAAAGCCUGUGUCCAUUUGGAAGAAUCAAGAAUUAUUGUUAGACCUUGGUAAAAUUUCUAGCUUUGCAGCCUGCCUAUCUGGAGAAAGGAAAUAAAAUUCUUUAAAUUAAAUAAUAUUAAGAAAAAGAGGUCAGGAGGAGGAAGAGGAGCCCUCAAUGGAGGCCAACAUGGAAUAAGCAGAGAGAAGGGUAGACUCAUAACUCCAUCAGAUCUGGGAUUGGAUUCUGAAUUUCCCAGCUUUGCCAAUGCGGUAAAAAGAAAGAGGGAACCGGCAGCCAUGAGUGCUCUUCCUCUCUCUGAGGACAUGAAGGACGCCUGACCCUUUCACUCCAGACCCUCAUUGGCCUGUGUUUGUGGAGGUUAAAGACCUAUUGACGUUGGUGCCACCCCUGGUGGGCCUGAAGGGGAACCUGGAAGUGACGCUGGCGUCACGACUCUCCACUGCUGCCAACACUGGACAAAUUGAUGACACCCAAGAACAGCACAGAGUUAUCAGCCAUAACCUCGCCCUCAUUCAGCAAUGAAGUUCCAAUCAAGUCUCAGUUCCAGCCCGACACCAGGUACUCUUUGGGGCCUUGCACAUGCAGCUGCAGCUGACCUGAUUGCAAUUCUGUGUGUAGAUGUCUGCCUUCUCCACUUGAGCCGAGUCACCUGUGCCAGGACCAUGGCCUAUGGCUGAAGAGCUUUGCAGAUUAAAUGAGAUGCUCGUGAUACCCUUAACAGAGAGGCUGGCAAGGGGCAGGUGUCUUGGCUGUUCUUGCACAUCUACUCAUCUUUGUGGAACUUAAGAUAAGUUGUCAAGUGCCAUGAGAAGUCUUGUUGGGACUUUCACUGGAAUCACGUGGGUUAACUUGGGGAACAUUUUCGUCCAUAUAUAUGGUAGAGUUCUUUGUUUUUUUAGGCUUCUUUAAUAAUACAGCAUGUUUCCAUUGAGACAUUUGAAUUACAGUUGAUCCUUGAACAAUAUGGGUUUGAACUGCAUGGGUCCACUUAUAGGCAGAUUUGUUUUCAUAAAUACAGUACUGUAAAUGUAUGAUUCCUUAUGAUGUUCUUAAUUUUGUUUUCUCUAGCUUACUUUAUUACGAGAAUACAGUAUAUAAUAUAGCAUACAAAAUAUGUGUGAAUCAAGUUUGUGUUAUGGGUAACACUUCUGAUCAGCAGUAGGCUGUUAGUAGUGAAGUUUUGAGGGAGUGACAAGUUAUACACAGGUUUUCAACUUUACACAGUGUCGGUGCCCCUAAUGCCAGUGUUGGUCAAGAGUCAACUGUACUGAUCACAUGCCAGUAUUGAUACUGAGAUCUGGGCACCUCAUGGUACUGGCCUGCAUGAGCAGCAGAGGUGUGAAGCCACUGAGAUGAGAUGGGAAUUGCAGCCGGGAUGGGGGAGAAUGGAGAGAAAGAGGGCCACCAGCAUGAAGGGCAAUUGCCAAGGAAGGAAAGUCUGGGAGAGAGACAGAGUGUGCACAGAGACUUCCAAGGCGUAGCUGUGGAUCGUGGAGUUUCCACAUUGCAGGAGAAGUUGCUUGUCUGAGCAGCUGGGGGUUACAGAGCACUUUUGCCCAGACCAGUGAGAGGAGCCACGAGCAAGAGACUGGUGGCCCUUGGCCAAGGGUUGAGUAGGAGGUGAAGAUUUCAUGAUGGAAAAUGGCAUCAAACAAGUUGCAGAACAAGAAAACAAUAGUUUUCAAGGGCGUUGGAUUAAAGCGAGGUGUUUGUUUUUUCCAGGUUGGAGGGGCUGUUGGCAAAUUUUAGGGUAAGGGAAGGAAGUUGGGUAACCUCAAGGUCAGAGAGGAGACAGAGGCAAAUGCAGGGAGGAACAAUGAUGGUCAGAGACACCUUUCCUCAUAUUUCUGAUUUCUGCCCUGACAGGUGCAGGCCACCGUUGUGGGGUUCCUGGCUGCUGUGGCUGCCCUGCUGCUGGGUGCUAUGUCUAGGGAGGAGAUGGACUUUGUGAAGGUGGAGUUGCUGUGUGCCAGCAGUGUCAUCACAGCCUUUCUCACCGCAUCUGCCUUAGGUGAGCUGUGCCCCCACCCCAGUUACCACCCCCUCCUAGCUCUCUCUGUCCUCCAUUCUUCAAUACUUUGCUCUCAACUCUUUGUGUUUUAGUUCCUUGAGAUGUGGAAAAUGGGUGCACUAAUGGUGGGGCCUCACAUGUCCUGCCAGAGGAUGGGGGAGAGCCUAUUAGUUAAGUCUCCAAGCCCCACCUUAUGGAUGGGCAAGGAGGACAAUGAGUCCUUUCCUAGGCAAUGUAUGUGUGCAGAAGUGAGCUGCUGACUCCAUUUCUCUUCCCUCUGCUUGUUCAGAGAACUGGCCUUUGCUCAGUUGACACAUUCAUCUGUUCAUCCACCCUUCAUCUAUUCAAUGUUUCUUGAGCACAGCUUGUGAAUGGGCCUGUGGAAGAUUCUGGCAUCUGCAGUCCUGUAGGGAGCAUUAGCUUCAAUUUCAUCUCUGCAGAGAGGUCUUUUCUGACUCACUCAAGUUCUGCCCUCUGCCCUUCUCCCCAGCUGCUGACAUGCUCUUCUGCACUAUGCACCUGUUUUCCUUAUUGAGCACUUACAAACAUCUGCAAUUGUUCAUUUUCUUCAUUCUUUUCUGUCUCACCCCUUUGCUAGAAUGUCAGCUCCUCAGAGAGGUGCCCUGUUAGAAUAGGGCUUCUCCUAUUCUGCUCCUGUCACACCGCCUGCCAUGCAUCAGAUGCUUCCUCCAUGUCUGCAGAAGGCGGAACACACAAGGAGUGACAACCCUGUCUUCAGGGAGCUCACUCAUCUCAGGGGCAACCAUGUUUGCCAUGCAAUUACCAUAGAAUGUCCCCCCAUUCGCUCCUUACUCAGUACUUACUGAGUGUCUACUGUGUGCCAGACACUGGUGCAGUGGAGGGGAUGCACUGGUGAGUAACUGCACUGUUUUGUGAUGUGUUCUGGUUUGGAGUGAGACAUCAGUAUGUAAGCACAUAGCAAAUUUCAGCUAAGUGCAAGUGUCUCCUUUUUGAAGCCUCUCUGAUCAGCUCUCUAGCAUCACCCCCCCCCCAUUCAUAGUCCUGCUUUCUUUUCAUGUCCUGUUUUUUACUUCAAAUCCUUGUUCACUUACUUGUGUGCUGUCUGUCCCUCCACCCAACAAGCAUUUACUGUUUGAGUCCAAAGCCUGAUGGCUAUUUUCAACACCUAAAAUAGGCAUAUUACCAGCUGCCAAAUGUUUGCUGAAUGAGCGGACUUCAUUUUGGUUCUCUUCUGGACUGCAUGUCUGAGUGUCUCUCGCAAACAAUGUGCAUGUAUAAGAAAGAAUAAGUGCUAACUGUGAAUUGGAUUUGCAUUUACCCUUCUGUUCUCCAUCUGACUGCUCAUGAAACACCUUUGAGCUCAACUCUCUGUAAGGAUAAUGUGGCAGGUUAUUUAGUGGUUUCUCUUCAUUCCUGUGCUAGUGUAUGUAAUCGGGAUGGAGGGUACGAGUGCAGAAACCCAGGAGCAAAUUCAUAAAUUGCACUUCCCUGGGCAGAGUGCUCCUGGUCAUGUACCUGUGCCUGUGCGCAUGGGGCAGGGGCUAGGGCGCCAUCACUCAGUCUGUCCAAGGGAAGAGAAGAAUGAGUAUGCCACACCUUGUGGAGAAAUAGAGCCCAAGAGAUACUUGAUAUGAAGUCUCCUCUGAAAACAACACAAUCCAGUGAUUCCAGAGGCCAGUCCUGUUCCUGUGGAGUCUUGUAGAGAAUGUCAUUCCUAGCUCCCCAUUUUCCAGAUGAGGAAAGUGAAGCAUAGAUGAGGGGUGAAGUUCAGCAGCAUGGACAUAAACUGGGUUGUCCAAAGAUGUGUAGAAGUUGAGGAGCAUGGCUGGUGGCUCAUAGUGUGACCUCAGCAUGACUGCUGUAAAGCCAGGUGGUGGGGUGGUUUUUAAUAAGUGCUCUCAAACUGGUGGUUUCGAUGUAGUCCCUGUUUUUCACCAGACCACCAGCCACACAGACUCAACCUCACUUAGAAUUGGCAUUUCAAAAGAGAUAAAGUAGCUAUGACCUGGUCACAAAAUAGGGCACAAACUGUGGUCAGUGGCAGCAGUGUUAGUAGGCCUUGAGGUGAUAAUUCUAAUUAUAUUUAGAGUUACAGAGUAGUGAGUAAAGUAUUUAAACACCAAGAGCCAAGAUACAAUGUGUCUUUUAAAAAAUGUUUAUUUAUUUAUUUUGAGAGAAAGAAAGAGUCAGUGGUGCGAGCUUAAGCAGGGGAGGGGUAGAGAGAGAGGGAGAGAGAGAGAGAAUGCCAGGCAGGCUCCGUGCUGUCAUCACAGAGCCUGACAUGGGGCUCGACCCCACAAACCAUGAGAUCAUGACCUGCGUCAAAACCAAGAGUUGGAUGCUUAACUGACUGAGCCACCCAGGAGCCCCCAGUGCUGUUGGAUUAAGUCCUAGGCAGUAGAUGAGGGCUGGAAGAUUGCAUGUGACAGUCAUCUCAGAACACAGUCAGAACACAAAAUAGGACCCAGGGAGGUAUAGUGGCCAUGAGAAUGUGUCUCUUGGGUUUCCAGUGCUACACCCAAAAAUUUACCCCCACUCCCCGCUGUUAGAGGUUAACCUGCUGCCUUCGCCCAGUGGUGGCCCUGCCAGGAUCCUGAGAUGGGUCUGUUCGCCAGAGAUGUGGACCUGCUGACAAUGCUGUGCUGUUGUCUGCAUGUGCUUCCCCUGCUUUCCUUCCUGUCUUCCACUGCGGGUGGCCUACAUGCCAUCUCGUGGCUCUCCCAACACCCCUGUGGCCCCCCAUUCCUCCUCACAGGCCUUGUCCCUAACAAACCUCUCAUGUGGCUAAUCCCACUGGGGCACCUGUGUCCCCAGGGACCCCGACAGACACAAGAUGCUGUGCUCUGCCCCUGGGGCUCUGUUGCUUAGAGUGGUUUUGGAGUCUUCUUCCUGUCAGGGAGCAGCUGCGAGCUUCACAUCUGUAGUUUCUGGUUUGGGAGCCCAGGAACUACCUCCCUGCUGUCUCCCCCAUGGGUUUGAGUGUAUCAUCAAAGCUUCCAGGCUGCUUCUUAACAUCACGCCUGCAAGUGACAGGGUCCACCCUACUGCAGGCUUCUCAGGCUUCAGAAUAGCGGGGAAACUGAGUGUUAGGGCAGCCUGGCUCAGGCGAGGGCUGUGUGGAUACAGAAAAGUUACUGAGCAGCCUCCUGACCACUUUCUCAUCCUGUGCUUUGAGUUUCCUCUGCCACCUCCCUGCAGGAAUGCUGAUGGUCUGCAUAGUAAUUGGUGCUCGGAAGCUUGGGGUCAAUCCAGACAACAACAUUUCCAUGCCCAUUGCUGCCAGCCUGGGAGACCUCAUCACGUUGUCCAUCCUGGCCUUUGUUAGCAGCUUCUUCUAUAAACACAAAGUUUUGGAGGGCUCAUCUUGAACAAAACCAUUUCUAAACAGCAAUUCCAAGGCAUGGCCAUAUUUACUCCCAUCAUAUGUGGUGUUGGUGGCAAUCUGGUGGCAAUUCAGACCAGCCGGAUCUCCACCUACCUGCACGUGUGGAGCACACCUGGUGUCCUACCCCUCUGGAUGAAACAAUACUGGCCUAACCCAUGCUCCACUUUCUGCACCUCAGAUCAACCCACUGUCAUUUGGCCUCUGAGUCUGUUGAAGAAGACUGUGCUGAUUAUCUUAUUGAGGUAAAUGUCAUAAAUGCUGUCUUCCUUCAGUAAGGUCAUUAACAAGAGUCAGCAGACCUCCUCCAGCUUCCUAAGACUUUUCUGUGAAGUCCAUAGCAUGAAGGGCUGGGAUCACACCAAUAUCAUAAAAAUGCUCCAGGUGACUGACAGUACAGAAACACUCUUCCUCAUCUCAGAGUACAUUAGUGGGGGUGACAUAUUUGGUUAUUUAUGGCUGCAUGACAGAGAAAGAGUCUCAAGGCAAAUUAUAGCAGCUAGUAUGCACUGUGCAGUACUGCCAGUGUCAUCAGCCUUCAGGGACCUGAAGCUGGAGAGCCUACUUUUUGGUGUUAACCUGAUCAUAAAAAUUGUAGACUUUGGCCUCAGCAAUGAGUUCACCAUCAUCCAUAAGCUGAACGUCUACUGUGGCAGACCCCACCCCCCAACUUAUGCUGCCUCAGAACUCUUCUGGCCCUGUGAUGGAUGUGUGGAUCCUGGGAACCAGUCUGUCACCAUGGUCACUGGUGCCCCUGCCUUUUGUGGGAGAGGACUUUUGGCAGCUAUGGAAGCAGAUCCUGAGGAGACAAUACCAUAUCCAAAAUUCUUCCCUCUUGAAUGUGAAAACCUCUUGAGAAAACUGAUGGUCCUCAACCCCAGUGACAGAAGAAUGUUAGAAGAUAUGAGAGAUCCAUAAUGUGGUGCAGGAGAAGGAACUCAGGCCUUACAAUGAGCCACUCCAUGACACCAAGGACCCUCAGGUGACUCAGGUGAUGAUGAACAUGGGCUAUGUGUGGGACUAGAUCUAGGACCCAUCAACAGCCUGGAAGUAUGACAGUGGGACGGCCAUCUCCUUGAUUUUGAGUUCUGAAAAACCCAAGAUGGAGGACCAUGCCAUCACAGCAAGGGCCUCCCCUUCUGCUGACUCCAUCAACUGCAAUCCUACCCAAACCCAGGAGGCUCAGCAGGUGUCAGAGGCAGUAGAAAAUGCUGCCGGCAUGAGCCAGCUAUACCUGCCUGGUUGUUCAGUAAAGAAACACAGAGGCCUGAAGGGGACCAGGAGACAGAGCAGAAGCACAUAGUGCCUGCCAUUCCCCACCCAGCCUGAAGUGAAGGAGCCCAUCUCCAGCACAGCAUCUCAGUGUGGCCCUGGAGCAUCCUCUGCCUCCAGUUCAGCCCCCAGUGUGGCCCUGGUACCUCCUACACCCAAGGCACUAGCAGCAGUAAUAAAGCCUUGGAGUGUGUUCUCAAAAGGAAACUCCUCCACACCAGGCAGCUUGAUGGUAUGACCCCACCCUCCUCCUUUGGCCAGAGCCAAGGCUGGCAUGGAGUGACCAUCAUGUUCCUCAUAUCUUAUUCUAAGACACUUGUGUUUUAGGCUGCCAAGCAAGAACCAGAAUGGCAAACAAAAUAAAGUCAGUUUAAUCUCUCAUGGGGGAUGGCCAAGGCAGGGAUCAAAUACUGGGGAGGUCGAGCCAUACUCUAUACAUUUUAAAUGGAAAGAAAAAAAGAUGCUGAGCUUCAGGGAGUCUGGCGACAUGGUACAGGAGAUUGGUCAGAGGCUGGAAGUGGUACAAGAAGACGCUGGGUGUGUAAGGGCACUUAGACCAGAGAACUUGGUUCCAUGGACAGAGAGGCUUUCAAACUGCUCUGGAGUUCUCUGCAUGGGAUUCAAAUCAAGAGGCUAUCCCACAUCUAUGGCCUACAAGAGGAGAGGUCGCUCUAGUUGCAGGUUCACCCCUCUGUCCCCGUCAUGACUGGGUUUUUCUUGGAACACUACUCCCCUCCCCUUCUCUUCUCUGUCUUUUCUUCCAUGUUUAGAAAAGGAGGGGGGAGUUCUACCAAAUCCUGUAAUAAAAGUUCCAGAAAGAUGUA